rnacentral:rRNA from 1 species
GGGCCCGCACAAGCGGUGGAGCAUGUGGUUUAAUUCGAUGAUACGCGAGGAACCUUACCAGGGCUUAAAUGUGGUUUGACAGCUUUAGAGAUAGAGUUUUCUUCGGACAAAUCACAAGGUGCUGCAUGGUUGUCGUCAGCUCGUGCCGUGAGGUGUCAGGUUAAGUCCUAUAACGAGCGCAACCCCUGUUGUUAGUUGCCAGCGAGUAAUGUCGGGAACUCUAGCAAGACUGCCGGUGCAAACCGUGAGGAAGGUGGGGAUGACGUCAAAUCAUCACGGCCCUUACGUCCUGGGCUACACACGUGCUACAAUGGUAGGGACAGAGAGCAGCCACUUCGUGAGAAGGAGCGAAUCUAUAAAACCUAUCUCAGUUCGGAUCGGAGUCUGCAACUCGACUCCGUG